AUACUUACCUGGAUGGGGUUAAUGAGUGAUCAUGAAGACUCAUAGCCUAGACCAGUGACCUUCAUUGCACCAAGAAGGGAGUCUUGUUCUAAGGUCUACCCUAGUGGUGGAGCCUACAUCAUAAUUUAUGGUAGAGGGGCUUGCGUUCGCGCAGCCCCUAU
rfam:Vigna angularis cultivar Jingnong 6 chromosome 3, whole genome shotgun sequence.